UUUUCAAGUUCUUUUUACUUAAACUCUUUUAAGAGUGGUUUCAGACAGAUAUGCUUAUGAUUGUACUCUGUCUAUAUUGCAUGUAUUCAUCAGGUAUGAAAGGCUGAUCACCUUCAUUACCAGUCAGUUCAGAUAUAAUUGUUAUGUUCAUUUUCAAUGUUCAUUUCAGCUUUGAAAUUUUGUUCAUGCUAAUUCACAACUACAUUGUGAAGGAUAGCCAGCUUAUUAUUCAAACUCUUUCAAUCAUGAUAUAUCUUUACCUUGUUUUUUUUUUAAACUUGCUGGGCAACUUUCAUGCUCACACUUGCUAUAUCAUGAUAAAACAUUGCAGAUAAGGCGAAUACGGCCAGUUACAGGAAAAGGAUGAUGCCAAGUUCAGCUUGGGAUAGAAUGUGAAGUUAAGUUGUAAAGUAUGUUGAAGAAUAGUAUUGUCAUGUGUUAGACAGUCAUGAUUGUGUAUAAGUUAAGGUUACUCGAUUUUGGGAAUAGUGUGUAAAGUUUAAUGUAUAAACAAUUUAUGUUUAUAUCUUCCGCAAAUAGUUGUAGAAAUAGCG
rnacentral:lncRNA from 1 species